CCCUUAGAUGUUCUGGGCCGCACGCGUGCUACACUGAGUGGAUCAGCGGGUCAGGUUGCGCGAAAGUGUUUCCUAAUCUUUAAAUCCGCUCGUGAUGGGGAUUGACGGUUGCAAUUUUCCGUCAUGAACGAGGAAUACCUUGUAAGCGCGGGUCAUCAUCCCGCGCUGAAUACGUCCCUGCCCUUUGUACACACCGCCCGUCGUUCCUACCGAUUGAGUGGUCCGGUGAGGCUUUGGGAUCUGAGCGGAAAGAGCGUUUCGCUGUUUCUGCUCGGAAAACUCAGUCGAACCUUAUCAUUUAGAGGAAGGAGAAGUCGUAACA
rnacentral:rRNA from 1 species